GGGGAAAAAAAAUCAGCCUUCAAAAUGUUCUAUUUCUUUAUGAAGCAAAUUGUACGUAAGAGACUGAGCAAGAAAGGAUUACAUGGAUAUUUUCGGUUUGAGGAUGACUGCGGGCUAACAGCAGCUCAGACACAGUGCACCAAUUACUGGGUAGUCGGUUGUCUAUUGCGACGAGGUCCUGCGUGAAGGCUGGGUGUCAAGAAAGCAAUUAAGUAUGGCAGUCUGUCGCAUGAUUAUUGGGGGCUACGGGAGAACAAGGAGAAAGGCAAAGAAGAGACAAGGAAGCCCCCCGACAACCACUCGUUCAGAGUCAGUGGGUAAAAUAAAUGGUCGGGUGACAUGCGGCAGGUCCCCUUGCGACAUGUCUGCUGUUGAUGGAUGACCGCUUUCUCCUGCUCAGCCGAGAAAUCUUCAUCGUAUCCCGAUCGUGCCCCGGACCCAUUAGCUUGGGGCCGCAAACGAGGCGCAUCGUUCCGGGAAUAGAAUUUUAUUUAUUUAACAUUGUAUAUUUUCGGAUGGUGACGGUAUAUAUAUUCUCCUCCGCUGUACUGCGGAUUUAGGCUUAAAAGCAAUGCAGGCAUAACUGAGCAGUAAUUAAACCGUUUGCUAAACACUGCGAUGUUAAAUUUCUGCAUAAUUUGUAAAAUCGCCAUUAUACAUUUACUUUGUUUUCCAUGUUCGGUAAAUUGUAAAAAUGGAUUACAAAUGCACAUUCUGUGAUACUGAUACACCUCCAUGCUUAUCCAGUCCUACCAUUAAGGUCAAAGGUAAUUAAACUGCCGCAUCCAGUUUUGUACAGUA